UAGGGAAUCUUCGGCAAUGGGGGCAACCCUGACCGAGCAACGCCGCGUGAGUGAAGAAGGUUUUCGGAUCGUAAAGCUCUGUUGUAAGAGAAGAACGUGUGUGAGAGUGGAAAGUUCACACAGUGACGGUAACUUACCAGAAAGGGACGGCUAACUACGUGCCAGCAGCCGCGGUAAUACGUAGUUCCCGAGCGUUGUCCGGAUUUAUUGGGCGUAAAGCGAGCGCAGGCGGUUUAAUAAGUCUGAAGUUAAAGGCAGUGGCUUAACCAUUGUUCGCUUUGGAAACUGUUAAACUUGAGUGCAGAAGGGGAGAGUGGAAUUCCAUGUGUAGCGGUGAAAUGCGUAGAUAUAUGGAGGAACACCGGUGGCGAAAGCGGCUCUCUGGUCUGUAACUGACGCUGAGGCUCGAAAGCGUGGGGAGCAAACAGG
rnacentral:rRNA from 1 species